AUUACAAUGUGACCCGCGACAAAAAUUAGUUUGCCACCCACCCCAGCACUAAAUGGAAGGUACUUUACAUAAUCGACCUGUGUAGCCAAUUUUUAUAACAUUUUUGUUUGUUGGUGAGCAGGGCCGGACCUGGCUUGUUUUGCACCGUGGACGACACACACACACACACACACACACACACACACACACACACACAAAGCUCGUGCGCCCCCCUGACAGACUGCGCCCUGGGCGACCGCCCACUUUGCCCAUAGCAAGAACCGGCCCUGGUGGUGAGCCGUGAGACUUUUCCAAAUGUAAAAUAUGUGCCUUGGCUCAAUAAAGUUUGGGAAACAACCAUUAAAACUGCCCAGUGGGCGUUACUGUUUUAAAUCUGCUUUUUUUUUCUUAGGAGGAGCAGUUGAUUAACUCCGAUGAACACUACCGAGCAACAAGUGGCUUGAAAGCAGCCGGUGCUGGACCGCACCCAUCACAUUUGGCAAGUUUGGAGCAGCCGUGACCUCAUUUCACGGACUCAGUUGGCCGUGAUGCACGCCGAUGCACAAAGAGCUCUGUCAUCAGCGGGGCUGCUGUAAGGGAACGGAAAUUGAUGGCGACUCAAAGGGCCCAUGACUGACAGGAGCCCGAGAAAAUUGUUUUUUUUUUUUAAAUCCCUGGCAGCACCCCUGGUCAUCAGGCAGCACACUGGAAUUUAUUUCACUCAAGGUAACUUAUAAGAAGACUCUUUGCUAUAUAGCGGGUUUAUUACAUCAUAUAAUAAUGAUUGAAAAGAUUUGAAUAAUCCCAUUACAUAUUUAUCUCCAUCCCACAGGCGCACUUC